rnacentral:rRNA from 1 species
AGGAUAAACGCUGGCGGCGUGCCUAACACAUGCAAGUCGAACGCGCUUUCGGGCUUCGGUGCGAGAGCGAGUGGCGGACGGGUGAGUAACACAUGGGUACCUACCUUGGAGUGAGGGAUACCGGCGAGAAAUCGCCGACAAUACCGCAUAGGCUUCUUCACAAGGGAAGCAAAGUGACGCGAGUCACGCUUUGAGAUGGGCCUGUGGCCGAUUAGCUAGUUGGGGGGUAACGGCUUCCCAAGGCGACGAUCGGUAGCUGGUCUGAGAGGACGAUCAGCCACACUGGGAUUGAGAACGGCCCAGACUCCUACGGGGGGCAGCAGUGAGGAAUUUUCCGCAAUGGAGGCAACUCUGACGGAGCAACGCCGCGUGCAGGAGGAAGGUUUUCGGAUCGUAAACUGCUUUUCUCGGGGACGAGCAAGGACGGUACCCGAGGAAGAAGCCCCGGCUAACUACGUGCCAGCAGCCGC